CCCCUUCUCCUGGGGCUACAUAGCCAUAGUAAGAACUGUAAUCGCUUUCUCAUAAGUGAACAUUCACUAUGGACACUGUGAUGCAUAGCUUUGUGCACACUCUUCUGGUUUCCUUGUCCAGGUUUAUUUUUCAUGAUUGCCAGAGAGGGAAAGAAAAUAUAUUUUGUACUUUAAGGAGUUAAUGAAGUGCAGCUAAGAGAAGACAAAAAUAAAAGUUUAUACAGUACAGGAUGACUAAAUGAAUUUGUGGGCUUUAAGAGCAUUUUUAUAAAGGGCUUCAGGAUAUUUAAAUAUAUUUUAAUGUAUUUGAUUGCAUUUUGACUUUUGAGCCUCACCAUCAGCUAAAUCCCUUGUGAGCCUAUGACUCCAAUCCGGCAAUUGUUUCCCAAAAACUGAAGGAGUUCUAGACAAAUCAGUGUUAUUAUUCUGAAUCACCCUUUUUAAAAACAUUCCUUUGUUUUUUGUGCAUAUGAUAUUGUUAUGGGUUGAAUUGUGUCUCCUCAAAAAUAUAUGUUGAAGUCAUUAGCCCCAGAGCCUAAGAAUGUGACUUUAUUUGGAAAUAAGGUUUUUACAGAGACAAUCCAAGUUUAAGUCAUGAGGCUAGUCCCUAAUCCAAUAGGACUGAUGUCCUUAUAAAAAGAGAAAUUUGGGUCCAGAGAAGGAUAUGCACAGAGGGAAUACAUAUCCUGUGAAAAGACAGAGACACAGGGAGAGCAUCAUUUGAAGAUGAAGGCAGGAAUUGGAGAACUUCAUCUACAAGGCCCCAAAGCUUGCCCGCAAACCUCCAGAGGCCAGGAGAGAGGCAUGGAACAGAUUCUUCGUCACAGCCCUCAGAAAAAAACUCAUCCUGUGGAAACCUUGACUUUGGACUUCCAGCCUCAAUAAGGGUCACUAAUCUACUCUUAUCUCAACUGUGACUUUGAAUAUGGUGAUGAAGAUAUGAACAGAUACCAGCUGACCAUUCAAAAGAAUAAAGAAGGGAUUCUGGAGCUCACACGGGAGAGUAAGACGUGAGUUAGACUCUUCCAUAGAAUCCAGUGCUGAAGGCCAUCUUGCCUGAAAAAAUCCUGUCAGAGCCUCCUACUCUAACUUAGAUUUUGCAGAAAAGACUGGACAGAGUUGUGGUGGUUUUGGGGACUAGAAAGACGGUCCUUGUUGAUCAUAGUAGGGUUUCCUGCAAGGUAGGUGUAAGUUUGCACAUCAGAAAACAGAUGAAAGAAGUACUAGCAGGAGCUACCUUGCUCCUCUUAGCUCUUGUGUACUCAGCCAUAUCCUGACAAAGGAAAUGAGUGCUAGGUAGUAGCAGUAACUGAAGUGAGCAAGGGACCAUCCUGAAAAAAAAAAAAAAAGACAAAUCUCAAAGACUAGGGUCAAGACCAUCACUCAGGAGAAGGGAAAUGCUAGGGUAAAUGUAUUAUCUCCCUUUCCCAAAUACAUGAAAGGGAGGUAACUCUAAAGUGAAAGGUAAGUACUUGCAUGUUGGAUAUGCUUCAUAAUAAGUUUUACUUAAGCAAAAAUAAAAAUAAAUAAAGGAAAAUUAGACUGAAAAAAUGGUAAUUUAUUUCAGAGCAGUUGUUUUUUUACUCUAUGGUAAGCAGAGUAGAUGCAACCCAGUUCUACAACUUAGAUCAAUCUCACAGGGAAAGCCUCAUUUUUUAUUUUCCUGUUUCUGCACUUCAGCCUUAGAACAAACUAAGACAACCUCACUGCUGUGGGCAGAUGCAGGCAGUUGUUUUGCAAGCAGAGGUCAACCAUUUUUAAAAGGAUACACACACAGUAAAGUCUCUAGAGCUCACAAUAAAGUAUACAAACUUACAUAGGCAGAGUUUUGUUUUACAGGUACAUUAUCAACUAUUUUUAGCUGAAAUAUUAAUAUUUCUACUGAGGCAAGCAUGGAAAAACACAGCAAGCAGAACUAGUAAAGACAUACACACACCUACAUUUAUUUGCUCAGGAAGACAAAAAAUUAUUUCUGAUGAUUCAGACUUAAGGAGAAAUUAAAUGUUUCUUUGCAUGUUUUAUUGCAACUUUGUGUUCUCUUUGGGGACUGGAUUCCAUCACUGGUGUCACUGACUGUGGAUAUCUGAUGUCAGAAGAAUCCAGUAAAGCCUCCACAUGGCGUGCCAGUUCUGUCUCCUUACACUUUAGCCAGGAAGUGAUGCUAUUCAAGCUCCUCCAAUUCAGUAACAUGUUACUAAUUUAGACUUUGGAAAGGUAUUUUUCUCAUAGGGAGGCAAUGCCUGAUUUGUUACCUUCAAUUGCUCUUUCCAGCUAAGGCUUUAUUUGUAUAAAUUGCAAAAUCAAAUUUAAAAGAUACGAGUCAUUAAAGGUAGAAAUUUAUUGUCCAACAAUCUUCAAAUAAAAUUAAGUUUUCUAUAUUAUGUUAAUACUAGCUUCUGGGUAUUUAAUAAUUUGCAAAGAUAGGUGAAUGUCUCCACUUAAUAUAACAUGAAAUAAUGUAUAAUAGCAUAAAAUUUUACUUAAACAUCAUGACACCUUUUGAGGACCAGUUCACUUAAACCUGAACCAAACCUGGAUACAAGAGACUUAGAAGAAAGGCAAGGCAGUCAUUAUUCACCUCGACAUAUAUGUCCUUUGCAAUUAGGUGGAUGUCCAAUGUCUCUGAAAAGGUGUUAAGUCUCAGCACCAGAUGCUAGUUGGAAUCAUAAGCCAUAUUUGUAACCGGUAAAUCUUAAAAAUUGUUUUGUGUCUUAGAAAGCACAGAGGUCAAAGUAUCUUAAUCCAGGUGUGAGUCUGCCCAUAAAUUCUUAAAGGUAUGAGUUUCUAUUUGAAUUUUGAGAAGGGAAGAAGGGAAAAAGACAUGGAAAAAAAAGUUACAAUUAUCUUAAUGUGUUAGGAGGCAACAAAGGGAAUCCCUUUAUUCUACUGAGUCACUGGUAGCUUUGCCCAAUAAGAAAGAAUUAGCACUCCACUAAAGUUGCCGGUGUCAGUAAUGGUUUCAAGGGCACUGAAGGAUUUAAGAGAAGGGCAAAUUAAUUUCAAAGAAUGUAGGAAGUGUAUUUCUACUUCUUUUACUACUCCUGACUUUCCCCUAACACUUUUCU